ensembl:lncRNA
UUUUCCUCUUUCUGUUCAAGAUUAGGGCCUACAGUCAGUCAAAUUUAUUCUGGGUUCUCCUUCGCUAGAAACGACAGCCCAGGAUGCUCAUGGCCUGGUGGAAGGGCCUUGAAAUCCAAGAACCUGCCCCCCGAGUCGGGAGGAUGAAAGAGAUUUCAACCAACAAGCAAACAGGCUCUUCUCCACACGUUUCAUGGGAUCGAACGCCUGCUCAUAGAGCUGGGUCUACCAGCAGAAGACAACUUAAAGCGUUUGUGAGAAAUGACUUCCUUUUUAAUGCUGGUCCUUUGUGGAAGCCAAUGGUGGAAGCAUCAGUCCAGAGGGCUCUCCUGGAAGCCAGUCCUCCAUCCUAGUCUCUGCUCUUGGCUGUACUGAAACCAUCCUUUUUCUAUGUUCUGUGUUUUCUAGAAGCUCCACAUACUUUACCACAAUGUUCCUUGUCAUGGCAGCACGGAAGAGAUGGAAAAAGGGAAGAGGGGAAUAUGCAAUAGCAGAUGUGAAAAUCAGGUGUUUCUAAGUCACUGAUACCUGUAAAGCUCCUGAAGCACAUUUGCAUCUUGAGAGCUCAUGGAGGAUCAAAUGCUGCUUGGGGAUUUCAGGAGCCACAACCGGGAGGACCGGGAGCGGGGUGGCAAGGCGAUGAAAGCACCGAGCCUCGCCUCCCAGCCUCCCGUGUGUCCAUCCGUAAAGAGAAUUUCAAGGAGCCACUGUGAGAAGCAGAAGAACGGAAACCCUUCCAGAUUCUGUAGGCAUUUCUCCAGUUCUCUGCCAUCUCAGGAAGAUGAGAGGCACUCCAGCCCGCCUGGCAGCCUUGCUAGCCUCUUCCCACUCUACCUCUGGCCCCGGCUCUCCCCAGCCAGCCUCCAGUCUCUGCUUUCUAUGCCUGAUGAUCAGACUUGGACAGUACUGCCCUGCUUUCCUGUUCCUGAGCCACACUCAGAGCCCUGCCUGCCACAUGCAGGGGGGUGGCGUGCAGAGCUCCAGCCUGGUCCUGCUUUCUGUUCUGUGCUCUGAGAUGUCAAGUCCCACGGACCCACUUCUCCACCCACCCUGAGCCUUCCCAUCCAGCCUUCCAGGCUUGGAAAACAGCUUCCUAACAUAUUCAGCAAAGACCAACAAAUCAUACUCUAAAAUGAGAAAGGAGAAAACAAAUGGAGUUGUGAAUAAAUUCACCAGUGAUUUAUAACUUACAAAUGCUUAGAGAAAAAUCCCACCCCACUUCCAUGAAGGAGAUUUGCUCAUGAAACAGAAGAAAAGUGUGGUUAAUAUAUUUUUAGUUCUCAAUAAAAGAGGAUAUUUGGAAUAAACACACACACACACACACACACACAUGAACUGAAAUAAAACUUUAAUUGAAAGCAAUAAAAAGUAUUAUCCCACCUAACACUGUAGAAAAUUGAAUCAUGUGUAGAUGACUGGCUUACGGAAAUGAUUUAGAAUGUGAAGGAAAUACUUUUUUACAGCUUCCUUGAGGUAUAAUUUACACACAAUAAAAUUGCCCAUUGCAGGCAUGCAUUUUGAUGGGUUUUGGUAAAUGUACACAGUUGCACAACCACAAACAAGUUUUAGAAGACUUAUCACCCUGAGACCUUUCUGGUGCCUUUUUGCACUCAAUUCUCACCUCCACCUCAGCCCAUAGUCUCAGGAAACCACUAAUCAACUUUCUGUCAUUCUAGUUUUGCCUUUUAUAGAAAAGUUUACCAAUGGAAUAAAAGCGUAUAGACUCUUUUGUGUCUGGCUUCUUUCACUUGGCACGAUGUUUUUGAUAUUCAUGUGCGCUGUUGUGUAUUUCAG